rnacentral:tRNA from 1 species
GCGAGCGUGGCGGAAUUGGCAGACGCACUGGAUUUAGGUUCCAGCGGCUUAACAGCCUUGCCGGUUCGACCCCGGCCGCUCGCACCA